AGAGAGAGAGAGAGAGAGAGAUGUCGACAUACUUGGUUUUUUUGUUUUGGCUUGAUUUGUUGCUGGUGGCUCUCUAUUAUUGCUUCUUCAAACUGCUGAGUAGGUGAAGGACUGAAGGUAAGUUGAUUAGGGCUCCUUUUAUUUUUUUUGCUAUUAAGAAAAAAAAAAUAAAUUUUACGUUUCUUUCACAAAGCGGCGCCUUGGGGCCUUGUUGCCUGUUGCCUUUCAGGUCCGAGGCGUCCGCCUUGUCUCAGUCGCCUCGCCUGGGCCUGGGGAGUCGCUGGAGCGUCGCCUCGCCUCGCCCAGCCCAGCGCCUCUUCUCGCCUUUU
rnacentral:misc_RNA from 1 species